CGAUGGCGACCGGCGCACGGGUGAGUAACACGUAUCCAACCUGCCGAUGACUCGGGGAUAGCCUUUCGAAAGAAAGAUUAAUACCCGAUGGCAUAGUUCUUCCGCAUGGUAGAACUAUUAAAGAAUUUCGGUCAUCGAUGGGGAUGCGUUCCAUUAGGUUGUUGGCGGGGUAACGGCCCACCAAGCCUUCGAUGGAUAGGGGUUCUGAGAGGAAGGUCCCCCCACAUUGGAACUGAGACACGGUCCAAACUCCUACGGGAGGCAGCAUG
rnacentral:rRNA from 1 species